rnacentral:rRNA from 1 species
UAUUCGGCAAUGGGGGAAACCCUGACCGAGCAAUGCCGCGUGUGAGAUGAAGGCCCUAUGGGUUGUAAAUCACUUUUAUUUGGGAAGAACUGUAAGUAUAGGAAAUGAUGCUUACUUGACGGUACCUUUUGAAUAAGCCCCGGCUAACUACGUGCCAGCAGCCGCGGUAAUACGUAGGGGGCGAGCGUUAUCCGGAUUUAUUGGGCGUAAAGCGUGCGUAGGCGGUUUGUUAAGUCCAGAAUUAAAGCCCGAGGCUUAACCUCGGUUCGUUCUGGAUACUGGCAGGCUUGAGUAUGGUAGAGGCAAAUGGAAUUCCUAGUGUAGCGGUGAAAUGCGUAGAUAUUAGGAGGAACACCAGUGGCGAAGGCGAUUUGCUGGGCCAUCACUGACGCUGAGGUACGAAAGCGUGGGGAGCAAAUAGG